GACAAUUGACACCAUCAAUGUUAAACAAAUAAGACUGAUGAAUUUUAAACUAAAAGAAUAUGAUACAGCUUCUGUCCAUUGAUUCUUUUGCAUAAGCAACAUGGAGAUGAGGACCAAGUGAGAACCAACAGAUUCCACUUGACUUGAGGAACCUAAAAAGGCAGUAUCCGUCAAACAGUUCUAACAAACAAAUGGGAAUAGGAGUGAAUACAACAGAACCUUUUUAAGAUUCUAUAAAACCUGUCUAUAAAGUAUUGAAGCAAAAAUAUUCCAAAUUCAAGUAGUAAAGCUUGAUUUAUCACAAUGACGAACGUCAAAGAACAGAUAACGUGAUAUAAGUGUAUAUAUUUAUGAUUUAAGAG
rnacentral:misc_RNA from 1 species